rnacentral:rRNA from 1 species
UACACUCCUGCGGGAGGCAGCAGUGAGGAAUAUUGGACAAUGGGUGGAAGCCUGAUCCAGCCAUCCCGCGUGCAGGAAGACGGCCCUAUGGGUUGUAAACUGCUUUUAUCUGGGGAUAAACCUACUUACGUGUAAGUAGCUGAAGGUACCAGAAGAAUAAGCACCGGCUAACUCCGUGCCAGCAGCCGCGGUAAUACGGAGGGUGCAAGCGUUAUCCGGAUUUAUUGGGUUUAAAGGGUCCGUAGGCGGACUGAUAAGUCAGUGGUGAAAUCCGACAGCUUAACUGUCGAACUGCCAUUGAUACUGUUAGUCUUGAGUAAGGUUGAAGUGGCUGGAAUAAGUAGUGUAGCGGUGAAAUGCAUAGAUAUUACUUAGAACACCAAUUGCGAAGGCAGGUCACUAAGUCUUAACUGACGCUGAUGGACGAAAGCGUGGGGAGCGAACAGGAUUAGAAACCCUAGUAGUCCC